AGUGAACGCUGGCGGUAGGCCUAACACAUGCAAGUCGAACGGCAGCACAGUAAGAGCUUGCUCUUACGGUUGGCGAGUGGCGGACGGGUGAGGCAUACAUCGGAAUCUACUUUUUCGUGGGGGAUAACGUAGGGAAACUUACGCUAAUACCGCAUACGAUCUACGGGUGAAAGCAGUGGAUCUUCGCACCUUGCGCGUCUGAAUGAGCCGAUGUCGGAUUAGCUAGUUGGCUGGGUAACGGCUCACCAAGGCGACGAUCCGUAGCUGGUCUGAGAGGAUGAUCGGCCACACUGGAACUGAGACACGGUCCAGACUCCUACGGGAGGCAGCAGUGGGGAAUAUUGGGCAAUGGGCGAAAGCCUGAUCCAGCCAUACCGCGUGGGUGAAGAAGGCCUUCGGGUUGUAAAGCCCUUUUGUUGGGAAAGAAAAGCAGCAGGUUAAUACCCAGCUGUUCUGACGGUACCUAAAGAAUAAGCACCGGCUAACUUCGUG
rnacentral:rRNA from 1 species